rnacentral:rRNA from 1 species
CAUUCGGGGUACUCGAGCGGCGAACGGGUGAGUAACACGUGAGUAAUCUGCCCCAGGCUCUGGGAUAGCCACCGGAAACGGUGAUUAAUACCGGAUACGACAACCGAUUGCAUGAUCUGGUUGUGGAAAGUUUUUCGGCCUGGGAUGUGCUCGCGGCCUAUCAGCUUGUUGGUGAGGUAAUGGCUCACCAAGGCUUCGACGGGUAGCCGGCCUGAGAGGGUGACCGGCCACACUGGGACUGAGACACGGCCCAGACUCCUACGGGAGGCAGCAGUGGGGAAUAUUGGACAAUGGGCGGAAGCCUGAUCCAGCAACGCCGCGUGAGGGAUGACGGCCUUCGGGUUGUAAACCUCUUUCAGCACAGACGAAGCGCAAGUGACGGUAUGUGCAGAAGAAGGACCGGCCAACUACGUGCCAGCAGCCGCGGUAAUACGUAGGGUCCGAGCGUUGUCCGGAAUUAUUGGGCGUAAAGGGCUCGUAGGCGGUCUGUCGCGUCGGGAGUGAAAACCAGGUGCUUAACACCUGGCCUGCUUUCGAUACGGGCAGACUAGAGGUACUCAGGGGAGAAUGGAAUUCCUGGUGUAGCGGGAAAUGCGCAGAUAUCAGGAGGAACACCGGUGGCGAAGGCGGUUCUCUGGGAGUAUCCUGACGCUUGAGGAGCGAAAGUGUUGGGGAGCG